GACGAACGCUGGCGGCGUGCUUAACACAGGCAAGUCGAACGGAAAGGCCCUGCUUUUGUGGGGUGCUCGAGUGGCGAACGGGUGAGUAACACGUGAGUAACCUGCCCUUGACUUUGGGAUAACUUCAGGAAACUGGGGCUAAUACCGGAUAGGAGCUCCUGCUGCAUGGUGGGGGUUGGAAAGUUUCGGCGGUUGGGGAUGGACUCGCGGCUUAUCAGCUUGUUGGUGGGGUAGUGGCUUACCAAGGCUUUGACGGGUAGCCGGCCUGAGAGGGUGACCGGCCACAUUGGGACUGAGAUACGGCCCAGACUCCUACGGGAGGCAGCAGUGGGGAAUAUUGCACAAUGGGCGGAAGCCUGAUGCAGCAACGCCGCGUGCGGGAUGACGGCCUUCGGGUUGUAAACCGCUUCCGCCUGUGACGAAGCGUGAGUGACGGUAAUGGGUAAAGAAGCACCGGCUAACUACGUG
rnacentral:rRNA from 1 species